rnacentral:rRNA from 1 species
GGGAAUCUACCCAACCCUACGGAAUAGCUCCGGGAAACUGGAAUUAAUACCGUAUACGCCCUAUGGGGGAAAGAUUUAUCGGGGAUGGAUGAGCCCGCGUUGGAUUAGCUAGUUGGUGGGGUAAAGGCCUACCAAGGCGACGAUCCAUAGCUGGUCUGAGAGGAUGAUCAGCCACAUUGGGACUGAGACACGGCCCAAACUCCUACGGGAGGCAGCAGUGGGGAAUAUUGGACAAUGGGCGCAAGCCUGAUCCAGCCAUGCCGCGUGAGUGAUGAAGGCCCUAGGGUUGUAAAGCUCUUUCACCGGUGAAGAUAAUGGCGGUAACCGGAGAAGAAGCCCCGGCUAACUUCGUGCCAGCAGCCGCGGUAAUACGAAGGGGGCUAGCGUUGUUCGGAAUUACUGGGCGUAAAGCGCACGUAGGCGGAUAUUUAAGUCAGGGGUGAAAUCCCAGAGCUCAACUCUGGAACUGCCUUUGAUACUGGGUAUCUUGAGUAUGGAAGAGGUAAGUGGAAUUCCGAGU